UAUCAGAAUAGCCAAUUAGAGUACCAUGAUAGCCAACAAACUCAAGUUUCCAAUACAAAGUACCCUUAAGAUACUUUAGUAAGCGUCUAAGAGCAAUUCAGUGUUCACCACUCGGAUUAUGAGUAUAUCUACUUAGUCUAUUCACAACAUA